rnacentral:tRNA from 1 species
UCCCUGGAGGACUAGUGGUUAGGCCAUGGUGCUCUCACCGCCACAGCCUGGGUUCGAUUCCUGGCCAGGGAA